UAAAAUUCUAGUGAUGGUGUUACAUAAUCAUAAAAGUGUUAUUUUUCAGUGAAUUUAAAAUUAUCAUAGUUUCAUAUUUGCGACCAAUUGUACAGGUACAUGGACGGCACUGAAUGUAGUGUUAAUGGGUGUGCCUCCAAAUCGCUGAUCAGGAGUCAGGACCAUCUCACGGGCCGCAGGCACUGCCAAUUUUCUGGCUUCUUCGACUUCAUCGAUUUCAGAAAGGUCUUUUUGUUCCGGUUCCGGUAACAUACCAGAUUUCUUGCGAGGUCACACAUACUAAAGGCAGACCUGCACUGCACCAAAAAUAUGCAAUUGCCGAAACAUCACAAACUUCCUAACAAACCGUAAACUAUUUAGUGAAUUAUUACACAUUAUUUUAUCA